GACGAACGCUGGCGGCGUGCUUAACACAUGCAAGUCGAACGGAAAGGCCCUGCUUUUGUGGGGUGCUCGAGUGGCGAACGGGUGAGUAACACGUGAGUAACCUGCCCUUGACUUUGGGAUAACUUCAGGAAACUGGGGCUAAUACCGGAUAGGAGCUCCUGCUGCAUGGUGGGGGUUGGAAAGUUUCGGCGGUUGGGGAUGGACUCGCGGCUUAUCAGCUUGUUGGUGGGGUAGUGGCUUACCAAGGCUUUGACGGGUAGCCGGCCUGCGCGGGUGACCGGCCACAUUGGGCCUGAGAUACGGCCCAGACUCCUACGGGAGGCAGCAGUGGGGAAUAUUGCACAAUGGGCGGAAGCCUGAUGCAGCAACGCCGCGUGCGGGAUGACGGCCUUCGGGUUGUAAACCGCUUUCGCCUGUGACGAAGCGUGAGUGACGGUAAUGGGUAAAGAAGCACCGGCUAACUACGUG
rnacentral:rRNA from 1 species